AAAAGAAAAAAAAAAGUAAAAAGAAGAAAAAAAAAAAAACAUUCUCAAGACUGUCAGGGCAAGCCUAUAACAAGAGACAUGAGCUGAAGUUUCCAGCAACCUUUGAGGCCUGAUAGCCAUUUUUAUUAGCUCUACAGAUAAACGGAUAACACCAAAAGGGAGAUGUAGAAAUGAUAUUGUUAUAUAUGGAGUGGUAAUUCGUGUCGAGAAAAUGGUUGAUAUUAAUAAAGAAGGGGGAGAUUUGGGAAUGUGGCCAUGGGGGUUGGAAAACCCCGUGACUGAAAUAACAUUAGACUCUUAACGAAGAGGCCAUCAGGAAUAUAAAAGAGUUUAGAGGGAACAAAGAAGGGUGAUUCAGGAGACUCCAUGCAGUCUCAGGUUUCUUGUUCUCCAGGUGGUUCUCUUGUCCUCCAGCUGUUAAGGCAUGGAUGUUUCUGAGUGUUUGCUGUUGUUGUUAGAUUCAAAGUUGUUUGACCAAUGAAAAGUUUUUUUGAUAAGAAUUGCUGUGGGGAAGAGUUUAAGAGGGGAGCCUGCCCUCAGAUAAAAAAAGAAGGCAACACGAUGUGAUGAAGUUAUGUCAUCAAUAAAGAAGCAGAAAGAAGGAAUGAAAAGGAGCAGGCUAGCUGAACGGAGACAAGGACGGGAACAGGCACAUUGAUUGCCUCACGAAGACGGGUUCGGCCAAACUCAGCAAACUGCUCAGAGAAGCUCGUACUGAAAGUCGCUGGAAAUAGGCGCACCGGAGCUAGGAAGAAGCUCAAGCUGAGAGAAGCGGACCCGCGCACACAACUGCCCCUCACUGAAAAAGAAGCAGUGACAUGACGGAGUAAUACAACCCAAAAAGUAAUCUAGAAAGUCUGUUGGAAGAAACGAAAGAAAUGGAAGGCUUUCAAGAGCUGCCUGAGGAAAGAGCAAUACAGACUCCUGCAAGUGAAAGCAGGGAAUCUCUAACAGGAACUAGACACAUUUGUACA
rnacentral:lncRNA from 1 species